CAUUCACUAUUUCAAACCAAUUUUACAACACAUAAACACAGCAGCAGAUAGUUUUACUUUGAAGUAUCUUUUCUGUCAUAUCACCUUCUGAAUUUCUUUUGAUAAUGAGUACAUGUAGAAACAAAUGUCACAGUGAAAAAUAAUGUAUUUUAUACCUGGUUUGUGUUAAUAGUGUAAAUUUAUCAAUGAAUUUUGAGAAUAAAACUAGAGAACACAAACAAAAAAAUAUUCCUUUUCCCAAACAGACACGGUAAAUCACACAAACAUAAUUUGUUCUGUUAUAUAUUGUAAAGGUUAUGUUUAUACUACGAGCCGUGAAUGAGAUUAAUGAGUUUUCUCAGCACAGUAAACCUUCUCCACGGAAACAGAAGCUAAAUUGCAAUAAAUCAUGGGUUUAUGUUCACAUAUUUAUGGGAUGGGGAAGAUUUAGAGUUCCUCUGUAGAGAAAGCUAUCCCAAAGUAAAAGAAAAAAUUAUGGCUUCCAUAACAUAAAGGUAGAUAAACUGGAGCAAGCUCAAAGUUGUGCGUUCAAUACACUUUAAUAACGUCAGUAAUUUAUUAAAAGUAAUUAUCACGGCAGAGUUGCAUGGUUGUACUUCACCAGAAGUGACAAAAUGCUAGUUCAAUAUGUUAGUUACCGUCACAUGAUUAUGUAUCAAGACCAAUUAAAUUACAACUGUCAUUUUUCCACGUUUACCUUAAAAUUAAAUACUAUUUUUCCUUCCAAAGAUGUGUCAACAGUAUUAUAGAUGAUAUAGUGCAAUCCAACCAGUAUAAAAUAUCUCAUAUCAUUUAUGCCAAUAAUUCAACCUUAUAUCACUGCCUAAGGAUAAAGUUUUUCUCUUUUUCUUGUUUUAGAAAAUAAGCCUACUAAUCAUACUUGGCUAUCUGGUGAGAAUGUACUCUGUAGAAUUUAUAUAUAUAUUUGGGGGGGUUGAUCACAAACUUUGUGCACAAACAUCUGGAAGAUAAUCUAGUAUCAUUUUUAAGUGAAUAUUAUCCUAGGCUCUUCAAUUUGUGGAAAAUUUAACUGAAGCCAAACACUGGAAUACAAUUAUAUCAAUACUAACCCCAGAUGCGAAGAUCAUAGUGCAUUUUACUUUGUUCACAUCUUUAAAUGAAAGAUUCACUACUGGAAACAGUAGAGUGAACUUUCUACUCGAUAUCAUGAAAAGAAAAAACACUAGAAUCUGAUAUAUUUGCUUCUGAGAAUAUUAUUCAAUCUGUUCAACACACUGUGAUGCUAAGAGGAAAUCAGACUGCUUUUUAAAAAUCAAGAUCAUUUCAAGUGAAAGAUUGACAAGUAAAAAAAAAUCUUAUGAUUAAAAAAUCAUAAAUUCUUAUGAUUUCAAUCUCAACUAACAGUGAUACAGUAAUAACGCUGAGCAAAGUAUUGUAAGGCCUGGAGUUCCCAUCGUGGCUCAGCAGAAACGAAUCUGACUAGUAACCAUGAGACGCAAAUUCGAUCCUUGGCCUCACUCAGUGGGUUAAGGAUCUGGUAUUGCUGUGGCUGUGGCAUAGGCCGGCAGCUACAGCUCUGAUUUGACCAUAUGCCCUAAAAAGACAAAAAGUAAAAUAAAAUAAAAAAUAGUCUUGUAAGGCCUGGAAUGUCAUGUUUUAGAUGUUUCUAAAUGGACUGCUUUUCUCAACUAUCAUUAGAAAGAGAUCAGAGAAACUAGAGGUAAAUUUAGAACUUCUAUGUUCACAAGUAAGGAAAAAGUCUUUGUAAGAUCACACAGCCUCCAUUAAUGGUUCAUGGACUAGAGACUGUUUGAUGGAGGCAUCAGAAGGUAUUCAGAUUGGAGGGCAAGGGCAAUGUAACUGUUCUAACGCAGAUUUUCUUAGGUCUUUGGAGAAAUUUGUGUCCAUUAAUGGAGGAGCAAUCACCUUAAUAUUCCUAAAAUAUUUGAAUCCAUCCAGUUUAACUAUUUCCAAAUAGCAUAUUUAAUAGCACUACUCAAGAAAAGACCAGCAGCAUUAAAAUGAACAAUGCACAAUCGUAUCUCUAAAGCAGUGCACGACCAUAAUAUGAGAGAGUUUGGUAUUUUCUGAAAUGAAAAUUUAACCUUUUUUAAAUACUGUACAAUCUUGAAAAAAAAGUAUUUUGCUCUACAUUGAUUUCUAGGAUUCAAUAAAUAGAAAACUGACAAAAAGUAAACUGUUUCUGAUUUGGCAUCCUUACAGAAACCUUAUUAUUAAAUAUCCCAGUCUAUAUGUAAACUGUUAUAUCUCACAUAUUCACAUAUAUAUUCCUAUAUUUUCACACUUCUGGAGAUGUCAGAUGACUUCGUUAAUAAUAAUUGUUAAUAAUUCGUUAACAAUAUUUGUUAAAUAAUCUGAUAUAAGCACAUCAUUUUUGUAUUAAUUACAGAAACCAAGAAAAUGAUUUACCUUAUUCCUAUCCCAAUUGCUUCAUUUCUUCCUAAAGGAAAUCAUAAAUAAGUUAAUUGUAUUCUUUAGUAGUGCAUUCACACUUGUUCAAAAUUUUCACAUUGGCUUGAUAUGAACCAUGAUAUUAUAGCAAAAUUUAAAACACCACACUCUUAAAAAUAAGUCAAUACAGAUAUUUAUUUGUGCCUUAUAAAGCAAUACUAUAUAAGAUGAAGUCAGAGGUAAGAAUAUUUUGGCUUUUGUGCUUUCUUAAAACGUACUCAUCUAUAGUCAGCUUUAUUUAGAAAUAUUUUACAUUUUCUUAUUUCCAAGAGAACUAUUGUGUUAUGUUAAAGUACAUGAAUCUAUCUCAAUUUUAAUGAAUAAAAUUUUAUAAAAAGAAUAAAGUUGCAACAGCAAAAGGACAUCAACACUCCUUCCCAUUUACACAUGACAGAGUCAUGCUCUACUAGGAAUUAGCUCCAGAAUCAAAAGCUAAAGAUGUUUAAAAUGUUAUUAAUGGUGAGUCAGAGGCAAUUAAAGGAAUGUUUCAUAGGUACAAGGUCCAUUCAAAUGUGCACAGGUUCCAAAGUUAGUAACGUUGUAGCAAGCUUGGAAUAAAAUAAACAGGCAGAUAAACUCAACUGACACCGAUAUGAUGGCAGAAGCAUUUAUUUUCAAAUGAUUCAAUUCUUCCUAGAACAAAAGAUUUAGGCAUAGAUAACUUCACUGAUGAAAUCUAUCAAAAUAGAAAUAAGAACACAUUUACCUAAAUUUACCAAAAUCCUUUUAAAUAUAGAGGAAGUGAGAAUAUGUCUCAACUCCUUUUACCAUACUAGCAUAACCUUAAUACCAAAACAUGGAAAACAUUAUUCAAAAAAUUACAAAUAUCCAUCAUAAGUAUAGGUGAGAAAAAUAUUUGAAAAUAUAAGUCAAUAAAAUUCAUCAAUACAUGAUAAAAUCUAACAGGCAUGUUAUGUAUAUACAAGGAAUGUAAAAUGGCUAACUCAUGAAAAUCAAUCAAUCAAUCAUUACAUUAACAGAAAAAGAUGAACACAAUUUUAUGAUCACCUCAGUAGAUAUAACAGAAUUUGUGGGAUACAAAGUCAAUAUACAAGAAUCAAUAUAAUUUCUAUAAUUUAGAGCAAAACAGAAAAUAUACCUUACAAUGAAUUUACAAUUGUUAAAAACAUAAAUAUCUUAGGUAAAAUUAGGCUGUAGAUGGACAAAUUCUUUACAUUAAAACUUACAAAGUACUGCUAAGAUGAAUUUAAAAAAACCUAAAAAUGGAGAGCUAUAUUCACAGACAAGAAGGCUCGCCAUGUUUAAAUUGUCACUUUCACCAACUGGAUGUAUAAUGUCACUUCAUUCCCAAUCCUACCACCAAUAAGUUUUAGAGUUUUGUUUUGUUUGAUUAAUAGCAAGUAACAAGUAUAUCAUAAUUUAUUUUUCUUUUGGAAGCCAAACCUGCAUCAUAUGGAAGUUUCCAGGCUAGGGAUUGAAUCAGAGCUGCAGCUGAGGCCUCUGCCACAGACACAGCAAUGCUGGAUCCAAGCUACACCUGCAAACUUCACUGCACCUUGUGGCAGUACUAGAUCUUUAAGCCACUGUAUCAGGCCAAAGAUCACACCCACAUCCUCACGGGCACUAUGCCAGGUUCUUAACCCACAGAACCACAGUUGGAACUCCAAAUUAUAUAGAAAUAUUAAGAACCUAGUCUAUACAGACAAAUGUUGAUUAAAAACAAUUUGGUGAACCUAACUUCAAAUUUCAAUAUAGAGCUAAAGUAAAACCAAAAAAGGAUAACUAAAUAAUAAUUGGUGAAAACAGAACGCAGCUCAGAAAUUCUCAUGCAUUGGUUUUCUGCAAUACCACUCAAGCAAUUUAAUAACUAAGGGCAAAUGUUUCUUUAACAAAUAGUACUAGAAAAAGUGAAUUUAUAGGAGAAUGGGAAACUCUAGACUCAUCUCUUUCCACAUACAAAAUUAUUCAAUAACUUUGCAACUUUGGGUUAAGGAAAGUAUUCUUGGUCCAGACAUAGAAAAAAAUAAUAAAAUGAAACCAAUUAAACUUCAAUGAAACAAAAUCUUUCUGCUUGUUCAAAAAGAUACUUCUGGAGUUUCCAUACCGAUGCAGUGGAAACAAAUCUGACUAGCAACCAUUAGGUUGCAGGGUCUAUCCUGGCCUCGCUCAGUGGGUUAAGGAUCCGGCAUUGCUGUGAGAAGUGGUGUAGGUUGCAGACACAGCUCGCAUCCUGAGUUGCUGUGGCUCUGGUGAAGGCUGGCAGCUGUAGCUCCAAUUAGAUCCCUAGCCUGGGA
rnacentral:lncRNA from 1 species